rnacentral:ncRNA from 1 species
ACUUUAUCAGUGAGGAUUUGCUUUCGGAAGGGCAAUGAUGAAUUUUAAACUCUCAGACAUAGUACGCUAAGGUUGUAUGUCUAAAGGGAAACAGCCCAGAACAAAAGUGGAAGGUUCCUAAAUUGUUGUUCAGUGAAAAAAAGGUAGUUUUUUACCUAUACAACCAAGAAAUAGGCUUAGAAGCGGCCAUUUUUUAAAGACCUCGUAACAGAGCAUUGGUUUAA